rnacentral:lncRNA from 1 species
UUCUGAAAGAGAUGGAGGGAAAUUCUUAAUGCAUGAUCUUGUCAAUGAUUUGGCCCAAAUUGCAUCUUCAAAACUUUGUGUCAGGUUGGAAGAGUGCCAAGGACCUCAUAUGUUGGAACAAAGUCGGCAUAUGUCGUAUGCAAUGGGGAAAGGUGGUGACUUUGAGAAAUUGAAACCGCUCUCUAAGUCAGAGCAGCUAAGAACAUUGCUUCCAAUAUCUAUCCAGUACCUUUACCGCCCUAAGCUAAGCAAGAGGGUGCUGCAUAACAUACUGCCAAGGCUAACAUCUUUAAGGGCAUUAUCGUUGUCAUGUUAUGAGAUUUUGGAGUUGCCGGAUGCUUUGUUUAUCAAAUUAAAACUCCUGAGAUUUUUGGACCUUUCUCGGACGCAGAUUAAAAAAUUGCCCCAUUCCAUCUGUGCAUUGUAUAACUUGGAGGCACUUCUCCUGUCAUCUUGUGCAUAUCUUGAGGAGCUACUGCCGCAGAUGGAAAAGCUAAUCAACUUGUGUCAUCUUGACAUAAGCGACACUUCUCGCUUGAAGAUGCCGCUACAUCUGAGCAAGUUGAAAAGCCUCCAAGUGCUAGAUGGAGCCAAAUUUCUUUUAGGUGGCCCCUGUGGUUGGAGAAUGAAAGAUUUGGGUGGAGCACAUUACUUGUAUGGAUCUCUAUCAAUUUUGGCGUUGCAAAAUGUGGUUGAUAGAAGGGAAGCUCAGAAGGCAAAGAUGAGGGAGAAGAAUCAUGUUGAAAAGUUAUCGUUGAAAUGGAGUAAAAGUGAUGCUGACAAUUCACAAACUGAAAGAGACAUACUUGAUGAACUACGCCCACACACAAACAUAAAAGAACUCCAAAUCUGCAGAUAUAGAGGGACACAAUUUCCAAAUUGGUUUGCUGAUCCUUCGUUUCUUAAGCUGCUAGUACAAUUGUCUCUUAGCAACUGCAAGGACUGUUAUUCCUUGCCAGCACUAGGACAACUUCCUUCUUUGAAAUUCCUUUCCAUUAGAGAGAUGCAUCGAAUAACAGAGGUGAUGGAGGAAUUCUAUGGUAGUCCGUCCUCCAAAAAGCCUUUUAACUCUCUUGAGAAGCUUGAAUUUGCAGCGAUGCCGGAGUGGAAGCAGUGGCACGUACUACGGAAUGGAGAGUUUCCUGCACUUCAGGACCUUUCAAUUGAUGAUUGCCCCAAGUUGGUUGGGAAGUUCCCCGCGAAUCUUUGUUCUCUGACGAAAUUGAGAAUCUCAAGAUGUCCUGAACUCAAUUUGGAGACACUCAUCCAACUUUCAAGUUUAAAAAAGUUUGUAGCUUCUUAUUCUCCUAAGGCUGGGGUUCUCUUUGAUGAAGCUGAACUAUUUACAUCCCUACUUGAGGGAAUGAAGCAGAUUGAGGAAUUAUCUAUUAGUAAUUGCAACUCUCUUACCUCCAUGCCUACUAGCACUCUGCCGAGUACGUUGAAGACAAUAAGGAUAUGGCGUUGCCAGAAAUUGAAAUUGGAGAUGAUUUCUAAGAUGUUUCUGGAGGUAUUGAGACUGGAUGAAUGUGAUUCUACAUCAUCAACUGAGUUGGUCCCAAGAGCACGCAAUUUGUAUGUAAGGAGUUGCCAAAACCUUACUAGUUUUUUGAUUCCUAAUGGGACUGAAACACUCCAUAUUAGUGAUUGUGAGAAUCUUGAAAUACUUUCGGUGGCAUGUAGGACCCAGAUGAUGUCAUUAGGUAUCCACAAUUGCAAAAAGCUGAAGCGGCUGCCAGAACGUAUGCAGGAACUCCUUCCCUCUCUUAAUAAACUGGAACUGUGGACUUGUCCAGAAAUAGAGUCCUUUCCUGAUGGAGGAUUGCCCUUCAAUUUACAACUCCUUACGAUCAACAAUUGCGAGAAACUGGUGAAUGGCCGAAAGGAGUGGCGUUUACAGAGACUCCCCUCUCUCAGAGUGUUACGCAUCUACCACAAUGGCAGUGACGAAGAUAUUGUUGGUGGUGAGAAUUGGGAGUUGCCUUGCUCUAUUCGAAAGCUUACCAUAAGCAAUAUGAAAACAUUAAGCAACCAACUUCUCAAAAGGCUCACCUCUUUUGAAUAUCUAUAUAUUAGUGAUUUACCUCAAGUUAAGUCACUGCUUGAAGAAGGGCUUCCCUCCUCCCUCUCUGUGCUGACCAUCGGGAAUUGCCGUAAUCUCCAAUCCCUUCCAGUAAAAGGGAUGCCCUCCUCCCUCUCUAAGCUGUCCAUCGAGGAUUGCCCUAAUCUCCAAUCCCUUCCAGUAAAAGGGAUGCCCUCCUCCCUCUCUGAGCUGUCCAUCUCUCAUUGCCCUAAUCUCCAAUCACUUCCCGAAUCAGCGUUUCCCUCCUCCCUCUCUGUGCUGACCAUCGAGUAUUGCCGUAACCUCCAAUCACUUCCAGUAAAAGGGAUGCCCUCUUCCCUCUCUAAACUAUCUAUUCGCUACUGCCCAUUGCUCGAACCACUCCUAGAAUAUGACAAGGGGGAGUACUGGCCAGAAAUUGCUCACAUCUCCACCAUAAAUAUUGAUGGCAAAUUCCUUUGAUGACUUAAACCGAAUGGUAAGUUAUUCUUUUCCCACAGAAGCUUUUUAUUUUUUACUUCCCUUUGUUCUUUUGUUAAUUCUCUCUUUUUUAAAUCUUAUUGAGAAGUGUGGAGCUUCUGUUGCUCCAACCACAUCUAGUAUUCGAUAAGCGGGUAUGCUAGCCAAAAAUUUCUUGUUUGUUAGUAAUUCUGUUUCUUUGUUUAAUUAUUUUGACCAGUGUGUAGCAUCUAUUGCCUCUGUGAAGCCGAGGAAGCAUCUUCAGAUCAAGAUAAAGUAUUUAUACUUGCACUGGAACAUUCAAAAAGAAAUCUAGUGUAGCUCCACAAAAUUGAUUGUUCAAUACGUAGACUCUCUUUUCUUGUCUAUUAACUUAUGUUCUCCCUCAAAUCUUGCAGACGAAAAUAUGAUUCGCCAUCAAGAAAGCUGUUCCGCUUUGUUCUGCAUUUUUUCGUCUCUUCUACAGAGAUAAAGGGUCCAAGAUGCUUCAGUUACCAAGAUGCCUCCCAAUAAGUUAAAACUACUAAAAGCAUCAGCACUGUGCAGUUUUUUGUUAAUGAUUAUUGGAUAUCAACUUUGCAAAUUUUAUUCUUUGUCAGGAUUUUCGUAUGCUGUUACAACUCUCAGCUCAGUUGGUAAAAGGAAAAUUCUGCUGCAAUUCUCUAUUGAAUAGAAAGUCACUCGAAUGUGGUCUGACAGCAAAGUGUAAGUGAACAAAGACUAGUCAUUUUUUUAUCAUCUAGUGAUCUUGACUAUCAGUCCAAGGUUUUGUUAUCGUUGGCUGUAAACGUUGUACUAAUGCUUUAAAUUUUUAUACAUAAAUAUGUGUGAUCAUCAGAAUGAUGUAUCUCUUUGCUAUUGAUGACGUUUAAUUUUCUUUUCAGGAUAUAAAUUACGUUGUGCUCAUUUAUCAAACACAUAGCUUUAAAUUAAGGCUCCAUAGAGAAUCUAUUGAAAAGAUAAUGACAGAUAACAAUCAGAAGUUUUAGGAAAUAAGUAAACUUCCAUUGUCGGGAUUUUGGGAGCUAUUCAACAUCCAAUUGCCGUCUCAGUUAGAUUGCUUGUCCUUACCAUUUUCCUUUAAACAAGUCACUUCAGGUUGGGAAUAUCUUCCUCCGGGAAAGAUGUCAUUGCCUUGUGAUCUUGGUUUCGACUUACUGAAAAAAGUAGACAAUUUACAAGUUUUUGAGAUAUCACACAAGUCGGAAGUUCAGCAGAAAGAAGGUCGAGAUGGACCUGAAGAAACUGAGAGGGACUCUCCAUGGCAUCAACAGCUUAUUCUGUAUUUUGGUACGUUUAGUACAUAGAGGAGUUCAACUGAGAAGCCAACCUCUUUAACCAACGUGCAGCCCAUUUUUAUAUAAAUUCUGUUUGUGCUUUUUCAUGAUCAGGAGAGUGGUGUUUUCAUCCAUUCAGACCAAAAGCGCACCAAUUUUAGAAACUUCAGCUGAUGGAGCAAGUCCGGCAACUGCUGCCUCUGAUCAAUCUGGAGACCUGUGGUCAGAAGUCAAAUCCAACGUUGCACAGAAGGAGGACCGCAUGCGAUUCAACUUUUUGGCAUGGCUGGACUUGUCCAAUCGGAAAAUCCCUGGUGUAUGGCUUCAAUAUAAAUAUUUAAUUGGCAGCUAAUAAUAAAGUUCUCUGCUUUUCACUUGUAUUACUGGCUUUUGGUUUCGGAUUGACGACUUUAAAAUGUGUCACGGGGGUCUACGGCUCGCUUCUUUAUAUACUAACAUCAUCAGGACUAUGGAUGUGAUAGAUUUGUGUUAAGUCUUUCUCUUCUGACUUGACUUGUAGGGUUUUACUGAAUAUAUUGUUUUUUUUUUUUUUAUUAAGGUAAAGUUGUAUUCUUCAGCAUUGAGGAUAUGCUGGCAACCUCCAAAAAAUUACAGGGCAAUAAGUCAUACUUACAAAUAACCAAGGAAAUCUACUAUUUGGCCUGCUUUAUCUAUACCUUCUUCUUUACACCAAAAAUACAUAGUACUAAUGCAAGAAUCUUUGACUUCUUUCCAUAAAGCAUGAUCUUCUUUGACAAACCUCCGAAGCCACUUUGCAAGUAAACACUUAUUGUGGAGCCUUAAAUUCUUGAUACCAAUCCCCCCUGAUUGUUUGCUGAGUUGAGCAGUUUGCCAUUUGACUAAAUGAAUACCUUUCCCUCUCUUGUUGCCCAAACACAAGAAGUCCUCAGUUUGUCUAGUUUCUCUUCCACCUUAACAGGUAGAGGGAAGAGUGACAUGACAUAUGACGGUAGUGCAUCUAGGACUGAGUUGAUCGGGAUUGCUCUUCCUCCCAGGGAUAAGUACUGUGACUUCCAAGUAGCUAAUUUUUUCUCAGUCUUCUCCACAAUACCAAAGGCAUCCCCAGAUAGGUAGUUGGGAAUUUUUCUACGUUGUUACUUAAGGUAUUCGCUAGGCUUUGAAUGUUUGCAACUUCCUCCUUCUAACAUAUGAGGUGAAUUUCUUACUAUAAAUGUGUAUAUGAUUUGAAUCAAAAUUGUUAAAUUUUAUCGAAUUCGUAACUUUGUUAUGUUUCUGUAAGUGAGUUAAGAUUAAAGGUUAUAACUCACUUGUUUAGCUCCUCUACCUUUCACGAUUGAAGUGAAGGAUUUAAUAACCCAUCAGUAGACAACAAACUACGUCGAUUUUAAUAAAUAUUUAUAAAAAUGAAUAAUUUUUACGCCAUUCAAUUAUAUAUUAUCAUAUAAUAUAUGUUCUAUUUUAGUUUUCAGAUUACAAUAGAAUUAAACAUAAAUAUCUUUCGACAAAGUGUAAUACUAUUGGUGUAAAUAUCUUUUUAUAUUGUUAGUGAAUACUGUUAGGAUCGAUUAGCAGUUCACACACACUAAAUCUAUGGAGAGGAUGAAGAAAACUAGAGAGAGUUCUUGAGGAGAGAGAGAGAGGUAAUUUCGUGGUAACACCCGUGGGUAACCUCCGCAGCGGAUAGACUAUUUAUAUUAAUGACUUGGAGUAUGUACAACUACACAGAGAAUGAGAAUAAAAGAUACAUUAAUAUAUAACAGUACGUCACAUAUUAAUCAGGCUCCACAACCUAACAAAUACUAAUCAAACUCAACUUACUAUGGCAUAUCAAGUAGUGUUAUACCUAUAAGAGUUUAUUAUGAUUAUUUUAUCAAGUAGACACAUGGGUUGGUCGGUAAUUGUAAUACCUAGAUGUGACAAUGACUUUCUUGUUACUCUGAAUACGUCCGAGCCAACGAAAAUCAAAAGAUGACAUGAUUAUUAUUGGAUCUUCAGUAUUGACAAAUCUGAAUUUGAGCUAUGUGUAAUUGUUUAUCGUGUGUUUUAAGAGAGUAUAAUCACUUUCUAGUUUUUAUUCUCGCUGAAAAAAAAUUAGGACCUAGUUACACACUAUAUUACUAAUUUAUUGUUAAAUAGUUUGUAACUAACAAAAUCUUUAGACAACAUGUUGCAACUACAGCGCAAACUUUUAUCAUUUCAUCGUAUCUCUUGGUGUUUCCAAAUUCCCAACUUGUUAACAUGUUUUCAAGUACUCCCUUUUACAAUUUAUACGAUUCACUUUUCUUUUAGUCAGUUCACACAAAUAUCGACGAUUUAUUUUAUACUUAAUUUUCAAAAAAAUUCUUUCUUAUAUUUCUCGCCAAAUGAAACUACACAUAAACUGAGAAUGAGGAAAUAAAAAAGUCAUGGCAAGGAGACGUGAAAUGAAAACAAAACAUUAUGAAGUCUUUGUCAACGCAACCACCCCACCACCCUUUCUCUGUUGCCUCAAUUAUUCAACUUUGUCAUACUCAUGUAAGGGAGAAAAAAGGACAGCUUUGAUUCAUAGUUGUACCAAUUACAAGUAAAACCACUGCAAAAAAAAAAAAAAAAAAAGAAAGAGAAAGACAGAAGAAUCACUUUGCAAAUUACUCUUACCAUUCAACAGGUAAAAUAUAGUUGUUAAUAUUUGAAGAUCGAAACCAUUAUCUUCUCAAAAUUCUUAAAAUCAUUUUUGUGGUUCCUUGUUUUGCUUUGUAGAUUUCAAAAAUGGAUAUUGGCUUAGCAGUUGGUGGUGCAUUUCUCUCUUCAGCUUUGAAUGUUCUCUUUGAUAGGCUUGCUCCUCAGGGCGAGCUUCUCAAGAUGUUUCAGAAGAAUAAGCAUGAUGUUCGACUCUUAAAGAAGCUGAAAAUGACUUUGGUUGGCCUUCAGGCUGUGUUNNNNNNNNNNNNNNNNNNNNNNNNNNNNNNNNNNNNNNNNNNNNNNNNNNNNNNNNNNNNNNNNNNNNNNNNNNNNNNNNNNNNNNNNNNNNNNNNNNNNNNNNNNNNNNNNNNNNNNNNNNNNNNNNNNNNNNNNNNNNNNNNNNNNNNNNNNNNNNNNNNNNNNNNNNNNNNNNNNNNNNNNNNNNNNNNNNNNNNNNNNNNNNNNNNNNNNNNNNNNNNNNNNNNNNNNNNNNNNNNNNNNNNNNNNNNNNNNNNNNNNNNNNNNNNNNNNNNNNNNNNNNNNNNNNNNNNNNNNNNNNNNNNNNNNNNNNNNNNNNNNNNNNNNNNNNNNNNNNNNNNNNNNNNNNNNNNNNNNNNNNNNNNNNNNNNNNNNNNNNNNNNNNNNNNNNNNNNNNNNNNNNNNNNNNNAUAAAGGAGAAGUUGGAAGACACCAUUGAAACAUUGGAGGAUUUGCAAAAACAAAUUGGUCUCCUUGGCUUAAAGGAGCAUUUUGCUUCGACUAAACGAGAAACUAGAAGACAGUCAACUUCUUUGGUUGAUGAAUCUGAUGUCUUUGGUCGGCAGAAUGAAAUAGAGGAAUUGAUUGAUCGUUUAUUGUCCAAGGAUGCAAGUGAAAAAAGUCCGACUGUUGUCCCUAUUGUUGGAAUGGGGGGUGUGGGCAAGACAACACUUGCUAAAGCUGCUUACAAUGAUGAGAAGGUAAAAAGCUAUUUUAAUUUGAAAGCUUGGUUUUGUGUGUCUGAGCCAUAUGAUGCUAUCAGAAUAACAAAAGCAUUACUUCAAGAAAUUGGCUCAUUUGACUUAAAGGAUGACAAUAAUCUCAAUCAGCUACAAGUCAAAUUGAAGGAAAGCCUUAAAGGUAAAAGGUUUCUCAUUGUCCUUGAUGACAUGUGGAACGAUGACUAUAAUGAGUGGAAUGACUUGAGAACUCCUUUUGUACAUGGAGAUAUGGGAAGUAAGAUCAUUGUAACUACACGUAAGAAGGAUGUUGCCGGGAUGAUGGGUAGUGGGGCAGUCAACGUGGGAACUCUGUCUAGUGAAGCCUCUUGGGCUUUAUUCAAACGACAUUCGUUAGAAAACAGGUAUCCCGAGGAACAUCCAGAACUUGAAGAGGUUGGAAAACAAAUUUCAGACAAGUGCAAAGGAUUGCCUUUAGCUCUAAAGACACUUGCUGGUUUUUUAUGCUCCAAAUCAGAGGUGGAUGAGUGGACAGACGUUUUAAGAAGUGAAAUAUGGGAGCUGCCACGUCGUCCGAAUGGUAUAUUACCAGCAUUGAUGUUGAGCUACAAUGAUCUUCCUGCACAUUUGAAGCAAUGUUUUGCUUAUUGUGCUAUAUAUUCCAAAGAUUAUCAAUUUUGCAAAGAGCAAGUUAUUUUCUUGUGGAUUGCUAAUGGUCUUGUACAGCAGUUCCAUUCUGGUAACCAAUACUUUAACGAGUUGAGAUCAAGAUCAUUGUUCGAAAGGGUCCCAGAGUCUUCUGAAAGAGAUGGAGGGAAAUUCUUAAUGCAUGAUCUUGUCAAUGAUUUGGCCCAAAUUGCAUCUUCAAAACUUUGUGUCAGGUUGGAAGAGUGCCAAGGACCUCAUAUGUUGGAACAAAGUCGGCAUAUGUCGUAUGCAAUGGGGAAAGGUGGUGACUUUGAGAAAUUGAAACCGCUCUCUAAGUCAGAGCAGCUGAGAACAUUGCUUCCAAUCUCUAUCCAGUACCUUUUCCGCCGUAAUCUAAGCAAGAGGGUGCUGCAUAACAUACUGCCAAGGCUAACAUCUUUAAGGGCAUUAUCAUUGUCACGUUAUGAGAUUUUGGAGUUGCCGGAUGCUUUGUUUAUCAAAUUAAAACUCCUGAGAUUUUUGGACCUUUCUCGGACGCAGAUUAAAAAAUUGCCCCAUUCCAUCUGUGCAUUGUAUAACUUGGAGGCACUUCUCCUGUCAUCUUGUGCAUAUCUUGAGGAGCUACCGCCGCAGAUGGAAAAGCUAAUCAACUUGUGUCAUCUUGACAUAAGCGACACUUCUCGCUUGAAGAUGCCGCUACAUCUGAGCAAGUUGAAAAGCCUCCAAGUGCUAGAUGGAGCCAAAUUUCUUUUAGGUGGCCCCUGUGGUUGGAGAAUGAAAGAUUUGGGUGGAGCACAUUACUUGUAUGGAUCUCUAUCAAUUUUAGUGUUGCAAAAUGUGGUUGAUAGAAGGGAAGCUCAGAAGGGAAAGAUUAGGGAGAAGAAUCAUGUUGAGAAGUUAUCGUUGGAGUGGAGUGAAAGUGAUGCUGACAAUUCACAAACUGAAAGAGACAUACUUGAUGAGCUACGCCCACACACAAACAUAAAAGAACUCCAAAUCUCUGGAUAUAGAGGGACGCAAUUUCCAAAUUGGCUAGCUGAUCUUUCGUUUCUUAAGCUCCUAGUACUAUUGUCUCUUUGCAACUGCAAGGACUGUUUUUCCUUGCCAGCACUAGGACAACUUCCUUGUUUGAAAUUCCUUUCCAUUAGAAAGAUGCAUCGAAUAACAGAGGUGACGUAAGAAUUCUAUGGUAGUCCGUCCUCCUAAAAGCCUUUUAACUCUCUUGAGAAGCUUGAAUUUGCAGAGAUGCCUGAGUGGAAGCAGUGGCACGUAC